UUUAAUGUGAUUAUGCGAGAGAAAAGACUAAAAAGGAGAAAGAAAAAUAUUAUUUAGCAUAUAUGGUGCCUUAAAUAUAGGAUAUAACUAUAAUUAGAUAUUUGGCUAUAAAGUAUAAAAGGUAUUUAUAGGAUGUAAUAUUUUAAAAUGGUAUUUAUUUAAAAUAAAUAGGGUACUAAGGUUUUCUAUAGGGUGUAAAAAUUCCAACUAUUAAUUACUAUUAGGCUUUGGCUUUUCCCUACUCCCAUGACCCAGAUCCAUUUCGUGAAUCUUCGUUCAAACCAUCCACACAAAACGGACAUCCAAACAGAAACAUCUAAAGCACCCUAAAAGAAAGAAAUAAUAACAGUGUAGCAUAAUUGAGAAGUGGAUCAAAAUAUGAUGUUGGCUCAUUGGAACGUAGGCUACUAUGAAAACGAAAUCCAAAUCUCACUGAUUUUAACAAGCAUGAGAUGCCAUGAUACCCAUUACUACACAAAAUUUCUAACAUACUAAAUGACGUUUGAAGAUAAAUUGAAGAACGACAAUUCACAACGGAAGACUUUCAGCACUUUAUCUUCCUUUGUUCUUUUUCCUUUUCUUUUGACAGAGAAUCAUUUUGCUAAACCCAAAUAUACACUUAUUUUAGAAGAAUCAUCUUGAAAAUAACCAAUCAACCAAAUUAGUACUAAUGCAUCAACUCAAAACUUUAAAGAAAGGAAAAAAAUCAUCACAGCUAACUUAAUGGAUAAAUACAAUACUCUUAAUGAUUUAACCACCAAUGACAUUUACAAUCCACUUGAUAAAUUCGUUGAUUGAAAUUUUUUUUUUAAAAAUAACAUGAAAAGAGAUUCAUAAUAAAAUGACUAAUUCAAACUUUCCCAUAUUAUUUUUUGAAUGCCAAACGAGGGACAAAGAGUAAUAGAACAACAUAACACUGGCGACGGAAAAAAAUUGAAAGAAUGAUUAGAUCAAACUAAAAUUAAACCAGCAGCUUCAUUAGAGUUAUAACGAAGAUGCGAAAACUAAGAAGAAUGAGCCAACAUCAUAUUUAAAACCACCCAUAAAUUGAACUAUAACAAAGAGAAGGAGAAGAGUAUUGACCUUGAAUAAUCUUACAAUUGACGAAAAAUUUCAGCAAAUUACAACGGACAGAAUACCACAGCCACGAGCAAAAUCCAAAAAUCGCAACCGAAUCGAACGGAAUCACGGACUACGCCUCAAACGAACCUCAAUUAGCAAGCAACAAACAAAACCCAAAUGAACUCCACUCAGUCUCAAAAACCUCAGAAACUUCGCAUCUUUAAAAUUAAAACCAGAAAGAAGAGAUGAAAUUAUUUUCUUAUAUCUUUUCUGAAAUGUGAAUCCUACUAAAAAAAACAUAAACCCUCUUUUUUUGUAUGUGUUUUUCUGGAAUUUUUUGAAGAAUACGGAGAUGAGGGAAAGAGAUUGAAAAGCCUCAAAGAAAAUCCCUCAAAACCCUCGUUCUCUUCUUCUGCCCGUUUUUCUCAAUGGCUCAGUGCGUGUCUUGCGGCGGUGUGUGUUUCGGACAGUGUGGUCGAAGGGGACAAGGGGGUGUUGGGCGUCGCUAUUCUUCAAAUGUUGAAGAAGAUGAAGAAGCUAAGGAUUAGGGUGAUUGUUGAAGAAGCAGACGUUCAAGUGGGGUGGGUCUCUUUGUGAUGGAAAACGACCCUUUCU
rnacentral:lncRNA from 1 species